rnacentral:lncRNA from 1 species
UCUAGCUCCCCGGCUCAUACAUUAAAGAUGCGGAGGCGCCGGGAUUGCGGUGCCACAAACAUGAAGACAAAUUUUUAAUCCCGAGCUAGAAGAUGCCGGGAGAUGGGAGGCGCGGGAGAAAAAUGAAUUAGGUUUUUAUUAUGUGUUUUAUUAUGCUGUAAUUGAACAGGAUUAGGCCUUGUAGGUCAGCAAACAGUUCGGAGCGCCGACUUUGUACCCAGCUCUCGCUUAUUGAGGGCGACCCGAAUUUUCAGACACUUCUCCUCCCACCCAACUUCUGUCACUUUUGAAAAGAUCCAUGUCUACGCAGGUCUAACCUGGCACCAACCACGCUCCCAGCGCUGCGUCCCCAGGAGGCCUCCUCAGGUACAAGGCGCCCAGAUAAUGGAGUGAGCGGCGCUAAACUCGCACCGACAGAGCGGGCUCCCCCGGCCUUAAUGAGAUAAUCAAUACUUGUUCUCGGCUUAAUUUCCAUCUAAUUGCUCUUUAACGACGCCGGAUAAUGGGCCGCCUCCUGUGAGGAGAGAGCUGGCUGGGAAUCCGACCCGCCUCGGCCUCCCGCCCCUCCUCCCCCGGGCCGGUGCCCUCGCGCAGGUGGGAUGGGGGCGCACCACGCUCCCCGUCGGGGCUGGAGCUCCAUCCGCCAGCCUCCUCCCCCCGCGCCGCCGCCUGCCUGCGGUGUUCUCGGCUUGGAAUGCGGGAUCCCCGUCAAGCUGCCGGGGUCUGGCCUCUGGGCCACUCACCUGACUGGCCCGCGGAACUAGGCGGUGCCCUCGCCCCCUGACGGCGCCUCAUCCUCCCUGCUGCCCGCGGAGCCAGCUGAGGAACCUGGCUGGUCAUCACAGACCACUUAAGCAAGGAGGGAAGAGGGGCAAGAAUGAAGAAGCCUGGAGUGGGACCCCAAGCCCCAUGGCUGGGAGGCUCAUGCUGCCCUCAGUUCAGAGAGCCUCCUGAUUUCCCCCCACCCCAACCACCCAGAGCCAGGAGAGUUCCU